UACGUAGGGGGGCUAGCGUUGUCCGGAUUUAUUGGGCGUAAAGAGCGUGUAGGCGCCAGACAGGUCCGUUGUGAAAACUGGAGGCUCAACCUCCAGACGUCGAUGGAAACCGUCUGGCUAGAGUCCGGAAGAGGAGAGUGGAAUUCCUGGUGUAGCGGUGAAAAUGCGCAGAUAUCAGGAAGAACACCCCGUGGCGAAAGCGGCUCUCUGGGGACGGUACUGACGCUGAGACGCGAAAAGCGUGGGGGGAGCGAAACAGGGAUUAGAAAACCCC
rnacentral:rRNA from 1 species